CCUUCGUUCGGAGCAACAAGCAGCAACAAGCAGCCUGUCGCAACUCUGAAGCUUAUGAACAGAAGUUCUUGAAGAUCAAAUGUUUUCAGGCCAGCCUUGGAAACGUUUCAUAAACUGCCAGCUGCAGUUCCAGCUCAUAUGGUUUGGAGAUUGGAGGACUUAAUUACUUUCAAGCAGAUGAAGGUCAAGCAUUCAACAAUGGAGGUGCGUCUGCAGAAUCUGCAGGUAGAAGCCAGUCCGAAUACCACUGAGGGGGAGGAGAAUCUACAAACCCGAGUGAGAGCUCAAGUCUUUCUCAAGGAUCAGGGCUGUUUCAUUGCAUCUAUAGGUUCUCGCGUGCUCGAUAGAUGAAACAAUUUAGUGUAAGAAUGAUGGACUAUGACCACUGUCGAAUAGCAUCCCUUUCUCUUCCUGUUACAGGGAUGACAGUUUCUGUUCUCCCUGGAGGUACGCCUGAGGUAAGAAAAAUGGACUGGCUUCGUGACGUUUGUCUGAAACGAUUACCAGUACUCUUGCUUACCGUGUAUAAUACAAGUCAAAAGAAAAACAAGCUCAUUAGCAUGAGAAACUCCCUUAAAUAUGAAAUAUCCUGUCCAACUUAUGACAAUCAUUGAUUUGCCUUCGCUAGCUGCCUAUGGAACACUGGAAGCAAUCCCUCCUGAAACCAAAUGGUGAUGCUUUCCCUCAGCUUAAUUAUUGCCGUGAUUAAUCUAAUUAUCUCUUCAUCAAUAAAUGAUCAAUUUCUUAAUACUUUGCCAUGAGGCCCCUUUCUUUGAGAAAAAUCGAAAGGGUGACCCUGAAAAGAUGUG